AUGUGGUAUGCAGUAAUCAUUUGAAAACAACUUUCUGUUGCCUGCAACGAAGUGGACAUAGUCAUAACCAUGUAGAGGCAUUGCACAGCUGGGAUGUGGUUGUGUUCAGUUUGAUACAAGUCUGUGGCAAUCCAGUGAAACAGGCAGCGUUUCUAAGGGGCUUGUUUAGCCCAGCACUGCUCAGUCUCUGAUUUGCUGGGUUUCAGCCUGCAGGGUUGCUUGAUACAGUGUCUUCUAAAGCUUCAUCCUUAAUCUCUCUGCUAGGUGCCACCCUUUUUGGCUUUGGCUUCUUGCAAUGUAAUUCCAUUUUAUUAGCAGGUCAUAAGGCAGAAGCUUUCUUCUGCAAUUGCAUACCGUUUCUUAACCAAUAGUGAUUUAAAUCAGUGUGUACCCCUUUCAAACUACUAAUAAACUUCCUGUGUUUUCCUUCAUUGGAAAACUUGGCCAAUGCAAUUUCAAGCAAGAAAACACAGUAAAGGGAGAAAAUCCUUAGAAUAUGAACACCCAUUUUUCAGUCUUUAAAUAAAAGAACAUAUAGCAAGAUAGCUUAUUCUUCUCUGCAUCGUGGUGCCAAAGAAGCCAGAAGUGUUGCACCCUUAUGCACUGAAUGUAGUGUUGCUCAGCUCCUCUCAAAAGCUGUGAUCCUGUGUGCAUUGCUAGACUCUGCUUUCUGCGUUCGCAACCCGUGUGGCUUGACCACACUUUGCCAAGUAAAUUUUCUCUUGGUAUAGGGUAAUAAUGAAAUUGCUGUUGAGUUCCAACCUCUGAUCCUUAAAAAUAGUCAAUAAAAUAAAGCUUAACUGUAUGUCCAUGCAGCCAAGUGUUCAAAGACAUACUAAGACUCAUCCAUACUUCUCUUUGCUUAGCAACAUUCUGAGCUGUUGCUGAAGAUGUCACACAGGACUCCAGUUAACUAAGUAUUUAACAAGUAACUCAUUUUCACAUAUGCUACUCCAGCUAUUAGUGACAGCAGCGUAUAGUUUCAGAGACAUAAAAAGCAUUUCUGAUGAACUAUUACAUGCUUCAUCUGUCCCUUAGAUAUUUUUAGAUAUAUAAUACUGAUAGUUGACUAUGUAGAAUAGAAUAAAAAAGAUCUUAUGUCAUCUCUGCAAGGAAACCUUAAAUGCCAGUGCUGUGCCACCAAAGUUUUGUGGUGGUUCUCUUAGUUUUGGUGUAUGGUCAUAGAUUCAUUUAUUUUUUUUAAUAUUCUCUGGAUUUUCUGGAGAAUAAAUGGUUUAGUGCAUAAGGGGAAGUGAUAGCUAAAUACAGCAAACUUAGGGCUAAUGAGUUUUUCUGAGAAACAAGGCAAAAUAAAAGCAAGCUUCCAAAAUCUCUGUAAGAGAUCUAUAGUAGAUUAACCCAAAUUCACUUACUUUGUAGCUGAAUAUAAUUUUUGAUCUGUGGUCUUAUUCUCGUUUUUGUAGUGCUGGUUAUCUGAACUGCAGAAUCAGACUCCAGAAGGCAGAAUGUGGCAUAGAAUCUCUAUCCUCUGCGCCUGUGUUCUAGCUGCUUAGUGAAUGGCAGCACUCACAGAAACAAAUUGUGAUGAUGAGUACCAGACAUAGUAGAGUAUGUUCUCCACAUGCAUAUUACUAUUUGUGCCAAAUUGUUCACUUACUGCACAGGAAAGCCCUCUGUUUAUAGAGGUCAAGUUUGCAGGGGACGGGAGUUUUUUCUGAAACUUGGUGAUAAGAAGCUGAAUGUAGUAACAGAAAAUAAUAAACAAAACAAAUCCUAUUGUAAGUUGCCACACUUUUUGUGAAUCACAAUUGUCCAGCCUAAAAUUGGAUUUUUUUUAGGCCAACGUUAAAAUUCAUGCAUUAAAAUUAAUGUGAACUAUUUCACUGCCAGUGAGAUGCAGUGCAGAAUUGCUGAGAUGCCUAGGUGCUGCAUUUGGGAACUAUUUAUUUUAUAACAUUAUCUGGAGAAGAUUUUGUUUAUGGUAUUUUUGUAAGCUUUUGCCAGGUGCCUCAUUCCUCAGCAUCUUUUUUUUUCUGGAAAAAGAGAAAUAGAUAAUUUUGUAGAUGUUUCCUGUGGCAGUACAGGCGUGAGGGCCUUAGGGAUUGUGGAAACCAUUUUGAUUAAUAUCUGAAAUAGAAGUUUUGAACACUUGAAAAUACAACUUAUUAUUACAAAGGCAAAUGCUCUUGAACUCAUCUCCUUUUAUGCAAGGUUCGUGACAAACACCAAAUAAAAAUAAUUGUUAAAGCUGCAAACGUGUUUUACAGGAAACAGGUACAGUCAUAAUGGGAUCGAACUUUUGUCACUGAAUUUACUUGAAAUAUAGUUAGGGAAUUAAAAAAAAAAAAGUCUGCAGGAUAUCUCAGUUUUUAUUUUAUGAUAGUUCAUCAAAUAUGUUAAGCGAGCAAGGAUGGCACUGGUAGAUGAACAGAGGUAAGAGAAAAUGUCUCAGAUUCAGUAUGAAAAAACAAAACACAGUCUAGCUACAGCUCACUACUUACUUGUAGCAACAGAUCUGCUUGCCCAGCUUUUGUUUACCACUGCAGCCAUCAUUCUAAAACAGUCAAAUUGCUGAAACUCUAUUUUGAUUUCAUUCGUACUGUGACCAGUUCUGCCUGAGGCAUAACUGCCUAAACAAUACUAUUGUUUCUUGUGGGCGGUGGGAAGCUAUGCUAACUUUUUUUAUUCCAUAUUCUUUCUUGCUCCACUGUGAGGCCAACAAACCUGGAAAUAACAAGAAUUUUCGAGCUGGUUGGAGACAGGUGCCCACAAAUACAGAUGUGAGAUCUUUAGCCACAAGUGGUAUUUCGUUCUAGGUCCCCUCUAAAAUAGACAGUAAGAAUAGAUACACGUGGAAUGCAGAGCAUCAGAGACUUCUAUCCUGAUUUUUCCACAUCAAUUUGGAGAGGUGGCAGAAAGGCCAUACACAUACCCUUUGAAGGUGCAAAGAAGAAAGAUAAUCAGUAGGCAGGAUUGGAGAUACCAAAGCAGUCUUCUACAGUUGAAGGCAGCUGAACUUGGGGAAGGCAUGAGUGAAAACUUUUUUCAAAGUGGGCAAUUGAAACCAGCUUUUCCAGAAGGUUUCUUUAAGUACCUGCUCACAACAGUUGCCUGGUCUGGGAUCACACUGCAACAUACAGCUCCCACAGCUCAUGAACACAAGUUGCAUGAAUGGUGCUCAGUAAGCGCCAGCAGCCUGCAUCCGUGCCACGACUUGGUACUCAAGUGCAACUAGACUUCAUGAGAUAAGCUCAAUGGAUGCAUAGACCUGAGCUUGCCUUCAAAGCGGUCUUCGCUAUAAUGCAAACAUGUCUCUCCUUUAUGUCCUCCAGAGCAGUGUUUGUUGAAGCCCUGUCAUUCCAUGUGUAUUUAUUUAUUUGCUCAGAGUCCUUAUUUAUGUAUACUUGCAACAACAUUCAGAACCAUGAACUUAAACGAUUCAGGAGAAGAAGAGGUGAUUCAAAAACACUCCUGAAGCUUUUCUGAUCAAGACAGAAGGGGAGAGGAUGUUGGACUUAAUAACUACAGAACAGAGAGACUACUGAAGCAGAUAUGGAAGAUGGGACUGUUACCGCAAAGCUUCUGUGAGGGAGAAAGUGAAUAGGGAACAGGAACUCGCUUGCUGAGUACAAACUGAAGAGCAUGGCUGCAGCACUUCUGUGUAUCACAGACCACCUUUGUGUAGUUAUGUGAGAAUUUUUCCAUUAUAUAAAUUUGUGAAAAUCCUACACUGUCUUUGACAUAUAAGUGAGAGACCCACGAGCCCCAUGUGUCUGCUGCUGCUUUUGGAAACUGGUUGUUCUAGGCUGCAGCACAUAUUGGCUGAAUCAACUUCACAGCUGGUGGUCAGGAUCCAAACUGUGAUUCUUCAGUGCUAUGAUUUUCUCCUUCAGGAUAAUAAGCGUAUUAACAGCAAGGAAUUUUCCCCUGACUCUGUAUGUUUCUAAAGUUGUACCUACAAACAGUGCCCCCAAAAUGGGUGAAUCUUUUAAAUGUUUUUCGUAUCUACGUGCCUCUAGUAAGUGCAAGAACUGCACAAGACAAGAAAGCAUUUAAAAUCCAGUUUCUCUUCAGGCUAAUAUCUCAGAACUACAUAGAACUCACGGCUAGAGAUCAUUACUGGUUACGUUCCUUACCUUCAGCCAGCCAACACCCAGCUGUGACUCAGUCAGUGACUUCUGCUCAGGAGAAGUGCUGGAGGCCAACGUGCCCCAGACAAGCGAAGCAAGACAGUCUCCCGUGAAGAUGAGGCAGGCCACUGGGAAAAGCAGUAGUGAAGGCACCAUUACAAAGGUUGCAGAGGAAGCAACAAUAUUCUUGAGGGAUUCUUUUUCAAAUCAAAUGAAUUCUGAAGGUUAAGAACGGGACAGAGAGGAAGGAAGGGCGAAGCAGAACAGAAAAACAACAGACGCUACUGAGGCAUAUGCAGUAAGAGAAAGAAAAUAGUAAUUAGAUCAGUUACUUGGUAAAGUCAUUGCUUCAAAAUGGCCUGUGUGAGACACAUGCCACCCACCUGCUGAUGUAACAGCAAGUCAGAAACUCUCCUACUCAUUCUCACAAAAGGACAUAAAUUCUCAGGAAGGACAGUCAAGCAGGUGAUCAUCUGGAAUCUGACAAUAAGUCCAACAUGUUCCAGUUUCCCACUGUACCAAAACAGAAUUCCUAAGGAGUUGCAUCCUGGCGAUGAAACUUCUCAAAAAUAGCUCAAUAACGAUGCCUUACAUGCCUUAAAAGGUUUAAUUCAAAGGGAUGAGAAAUCUCAUUAUGAGAAGGACAAAUUGUUAACAAAUUCUUAUAUAUUACAAAUGAAUCACAAUGAAAAACAAUCCUAAUCCAUACCUAAAGCUGCAAUGCACCUUCUUUAGUAUUAUAUAUAUAUAUAUAUAUAUAUGUACAUAUAUAAUCACAUGUGGAAAUUAAUGCAACAGGUCAUGCAAGUAUUUUAGACAUUUAGGAAUGAAGAUGUAUAACACUAAAAGCUAUUGCCAGUUUUUUAAGCACCAUACUCCCAUUAAAAAGUAUUUUAAACACAUCAUUUCUGUUCUCUGAAUGCACAGUAUGGUAUUUUUGACUUUGCUCCACGGUUAGUCUCUAAUUUGAUAACCUCACCUUCUGCAUGGAUAACCAUAUAUCUACCACAAAGCAGGAAGUGUGGCCUGCAACAAGAGCGAAGUAUCUGUUUGAUUUUAGUUCUCAGUAAUUACAACUGAAAAAUACCAUUUGACUUUGGUCUUCAGGUGAAAUUCACCACACUGCUUUAAUUGAAACCUAUCUUCCUCACAACAAAAAGCAAACUAUCAUGCAGCAGGAGUGGUAAGGUCAUGUAACAGAUGCGGUUCUCACAAGUUUGGCCUAAUUCGGCUGCCACUUCUGUACCAGUGAAAGUGAAAGAAGAUCAAGCUUCUAAAUUUAAAGACUGCAGACUCAGUUGUCACCGCGUCUCAUGUCCUUAACUUUAAGCCUUUAAGAAGUCUCGUUCACCUCUGAAGGACAAGAAUACAUGAAGGAGACGCUUCUAAACCUCACUAGGGCUGGAACAAGUGGCAGUUAAGAGGCACAGUACGGGAAGACACUGAGUUGUCUUAGUGAAACAGAAAGAGGGACAAGGGAACUAUUGUUUCUGGUAAAGAGGAAAAAGAAGUAUUAAAGAUAAAACCUUUCUGGGGGCGUUAUUACAACACCAAGCAAUAAAAAUGUCUGCGUUUGGCAAGUUUUAACAGAGCAUGCCUGUUGCUACCUUUUUGUUCAGUGUGUAGUUUGUCUAAUUACAGGAAAUGUCUAUGAUGUAGGUAGGAAUGACAUACAACAAUCUUAUUUACUGUACUUAUAUUAAUAGGCUUAAAUUCCUUAGAAAACCACACGUGAGCAUGCAGAGAUGGAAAUCGUUUUAAGUUUCCUUCACACUUUUAGUCCUUCAUUUCAGGCACGCCGCAGCUUGCUUCAUUUUCUCACACUAUGCAGAGUAACUGCACACCUUAGCACAGCACGCGUCACGGGGGACUUCCUGCCCUGAGAACUGCCACCAUCCAAACACUACAGCUGCAGUAUCUCCAACUCACUACAAGAUAAGGGCAAGUCACAACUUGUGCUCCCAAGGACCGUUACUGCUACACUUAACACCCACUCAUCCCCGCCACUCGCAAAGCACGUACUGCAAGGCGAAAUGUAAGUUCAUAUUUAGGAAAAAAAAAAAAAAAACCAGAAAAAAAUGGCGUGAGCUGGAUCGAUCCGUAAGCGUAGAACUAAAAUCCCUUCGCAAGCUGACAGAGCAGCGGAGCCAGGCGGCCCCGCGGCAGGCCCCAGCGGGCACGGCAGGUCCUCCAGCCCGCUCCUCGCUGCGGAAGGCAGCCGGGCCCCCGGGAGGACAGGACCAGGCACGGGCGCCGAGGCUGGCGCCCCGCCGAGGAGGUCUUGGCGCGGCAGGAAGCCGAGUCUGGGCCUUCCUUCAGGCGUAGAGAACGCAGCCGAGCACAGCGUGUCACAGGGGAGGGAGGCCCCGCGAGCAGCCCAGGGGAAGCCGCGGGGCCUUGACCCUCCGCCCCGAGAGGCCGCCGGCCUCGAAGAGGCGCCGCAGCGCAGCCCAGAGACGGCCGUGCGGAGGGAAGAGCGGG
ensembl:lncRNA